rnacentral:rRNA from 1 species
CCGGCGCACGGGUGAGUAACACGUAUCCAACCUGCCGUCUACUCUUGGCCAGCCUUCUGAAAGGAAGAUUAAUCCAGGAUGGCGUCAUGAGUUCACAUGUCCGCAUGAUUAAAGGUAUUUUCCGGUAGACGAUGGGGAUGCGUUCCAUUAGAUAGUAGGCGGGGUAACGGCCCACCUAGUCAACGAUGGAUAGGGGUUCUGAGAGGAAGGUCCCCCACAUUGGAACUGAGACACGGUCCAA